rnacentral:rRNA from 1 species
UACGGAGGGUGCAAGCGUUAUCCGGAUUCACUGGGUUUAAAGGGUGCGUAGGUGGAUUGCCAAGUCCGUGGUGAAAUCUCUGAGCUUAACUCAGAAACUGCCGUGGAUACUGGUAGUCUUGAAUGCCGUGGAGGUCAGCGGAAUAUGUCAUGUAGCGGUGAAAUGCUUAGAGAUGACAUAGAACACCGAUUGCGAAGGCAGCUGACUACACGAAUAUUGACACUGAGGCACGAAAGCGUGGGGAUCAAACAGG